rnacentral:tRNA from 1 species
GCGCCUGUAGCUCAAUAGGAUAGAGUUCCUGGCUUCGAACCAGGGGGUUGGGGGUUCGAUUCCCUCCAGGCGUA